CAAUCCUCGAGAUGCAACAUCAGUGGCAACCAAAAUAUUAUUGGAGCCACUUCUAAAAUCUUGCAGAGCAGCUUCUCUUUCACUCUGACUACGGCCACCAUGAAGAGCAGCCGCCUGUAAGCCUUGUGCUACCAGAGCUUCAGCAACUUCAUCACACCUUGUCUUCCUUUCCACAAACACAACAGUUAAAGGAAAGGGAUGACCAGAUCUUUCAGCCUGAGA
rnacentral:misc_RNA from 1 species